rnacentral:rRNA from 1 species
CCUACGGGAGGCAGCAGUGGGGAAUAUUGCACAAUGGGGGGAACCCUGAUGCAGCAACGCCGCGUGGGUGAAGAAGUACUCCGGUAUGUAAAGCCCUGUCAGCAGGGAAGAAAAUGACGGUACCUGACCAAGAAGCCCCGGCUAACUACGUGCCAGCAGCCGCGGUAAUACGUAGGGGGCAAGCGUUAUCCGGAUUUACUGGGUGUAAAGGGAGCGUAGACGGCAAGGCAAGUCUGGAGUGAAAGCCCGGGGCCCAACCACGGGACUGCUUUGGAAACUGUGUUGCUGGAGUGCAGGAGGGGUAAGCGGAAUUCCUAGUGUAGCGGUGAAAUGCGUAGAUAUUAGGAGGAACACCGGUGGCGAAGGCGGCUUACUGGACUGUAACUGACGUUGAGGCUCGAAGGCGUGGGGAGCAAACAGGAUUAGAUACCCGAGUAGUC